GAGGGUCAAAGAAAGAGGGCUAGUUUUCUUGAAUAGAUUGCACAGACAAAAUUCAACAUCAUAUAUAUUCUUUUAAAUUUGCGUAAUUUUAAUAAAAUCCAUUUUUAAAUCCCAUUUGAUAGAUAGAGUUGUUUGAGAAAAGAAAAUCCAUGUAGAGCUUAAUUCUUUCCUUCUGUUUUUUUUUUCUUUCCUUUUUUUAUAUAUAUUAAAAUAGAAUAAACUUUGAUUCCAAUUAAAAUAUGAUCACAAAUUUCGCCACAAGGGCUGCUUGAUACAUAAAUAGUGGUCUGGUUAAAAUCUUACCUUAAAAGACUCUCAAAAGAGAAAAAUUCGGUCAAGAAAAAAGAAUACCACGCAUCUAGACCAAGCUAAAACAAAACGACCCCUCCAUAAUGCUAACAUAGGGAGAGUACUCAAACUAAUAGCGUACAUGCCUAACUUCUAAUGUAAAUGGAACAGUUGACAUAUAUUUGAGCCAACCUUAAAAUGAGCUAAAUUCUACAUUCACAUUAGAAAUAGGGCUUGGGACAAAAUCUAGUGCCUAUAUAUGACCGUCUCUAUGUUCAAUAUUAUUGGAAGUCUCGAUCCAGCAGAGACAAACGUCAAAGGUGUGAGGUCUAUUGAGUAUAGAUGUAUCAAGUUUUAGUUCACAUUCACUUCUGUUUUAUGAGAGAGAAUGUUA
rnacentral:lncRNA from 1 species